ensembl:snRNA U6 U6 spliceosomal RNA
GUGCUCGUUUUGGCAGCAUAUAUACUAAAAUUGGAAUGGCACAGGGAAGAUUAGAUGGCCCCUUGCACAAGGAUGUCAUACAAAUUCGUGAAGCCUCCCAUAUUUUU